rnacentral:rRNA from 1 species
GAUCAUGGCUCAGGAUGAACGCUAGCGACAGGCCUAACACAUGCAAGUCGAGGGGCAGCGGAGAGGUAGCAAUACCUUUGCCGGCAACCGGCGCACGGGUGAGUAACACGUAUGCAAUCCACCUGUAACAGGGGGAUAACCCGGAGAAAUCCGGACUAAUACCCCAUAAUAUGGGCGUUCCGCAUGGAGAGCUCAUUAAAGAGAGCAAUCUUGGUUACAGACGAGCAUGCGCU